UACGGGGGGGGCAAGCGUUGUUCGGAAUUACUGGGCGUAAAGGGCUCGUAGGUGGCCAACUAAGUCAGACGUGAAAUCCCUCGGCUUAACCGGGGAACUGCGUCUGAUACUGGAUGGCUUGAGUUUGGGAGAGGGAUGCGGAAUUCCAGGUGUAGCGGUGAAAUGCGUAGAUAUCAGGAGGAACACCAAUUGCGAAGGCAGCUCGCUGGGACGUUACUGACGCUGAGACGCGAAAGCGUGGGGAGCAAACAGG
rnacentral:rRNA from 1 species